UGGCUUUAUUAUUUGCGCCACCGUGUGUCCUUAAUGAGAACUGCAGGGUAUUUUCUUUUUUAGAGUUUCUUGAAUUUCAAUUGGCUCAUAUAGUCACAUGUUUGAGGUUAUAGUUCAGAUCAGCCAUUUUGUACCCUGUUUUGUAAGAGCUCACAUGUUCUCGGGAGCUAACGAGAAUCCUUGCAAUCCUCACGUGCCGAUCCAUGAAGAAGCUUUGCCUUUUCACACAAUAGAGAGCAUUUGGAGCUCAUGUUGCUCAGGACAUUACAAGUAAAGAACUCUACACUCUA